rnacentral:rRNA from 1 species
GGGCCCGCACAAGCGGUGGAGCAUGUGGUUUAAUUCGAUGCAACGCGAAGAACCUUACCAGGGUUUGACAUCCUGCGAAUCUCUUGGAAACGAGAGAGUGCCUUCGGGAACGCAGUGACAGGUGGUGCAUGGCUGUCGUCAGCUCGUGUCGUGAGAUGUUGGGUUAAGUCCCGCAACGAGCGCAACCCACGUCUUUAGUUGCCAGCAUUUAGUUGGGCACUCUAGAAAGACUGCCGGUGACAAACCGGAGGAAGGUGAGGAUGACGUCAAGUCAGCAUGCCCCUUAUGUCCUGGGCUACACACGUGCUACAAUGGUUAAGACAAAGAGUUGCGAGUUCGUGAGAACCAGCUAAUCUCGUAAACUUAGCCUAAGUUCAGAUUGUAGGCUGCAACUCGCCUACAUGAAGUUGGAAUCGCUAGUAAUCGC